UUUGGAGCCGCUCUCCUUACCUUUGUGACAUACCUACAACUGUUGCUUCGGCGGGUAGGCCGUCCCCUGAAAAGGACGCCUCCCGGCCCGGACCGGACCCCCCGUGGGGCCGGACUCGGCGCCCGCCGGAGGAUAACCAAACGCUAUUUUAACGACGUUUCUUCUGAGUGGCAUAAGCAAAAUAAUCAAAACUUUUAACAACGGAUCUCUUGGUUCUGGCAUCGAUGAAGAACGCAGCGAAAUGCGAUAAGUAAUGUGAAUUGCAGAAUUCAGUGAAUCAUCGAAUCUUUGAACGCACAUUGCGCCCGCCAGCAUUCUGGCGGGCAUGCCUGUUCGAGCGUCAUUUCAACCCUCAAGCUCUGCUUGGUGUUGGGGCUCUACGGUCGACGUAGGCCCUCAAAGGUAGUGGCGGACCCUCCCGGAGCCUCCUUUGCGUAGUAACAUUUCGUCUCGCACUGGGAUCCGGAGGGACUCUUGCCGUAAAACCCCCCAAUUUUUCAAGGUUGACCUCGGAUCAGGUAGGAAUACCCGCUGAACUUAAGCAUAUCAAUAAGCGGAGGAA
rnacentral:rRNA from 1 species